GCUCUGGGCGGUUUCCUGGCGUCAGUUAGACCAUCUGCCUGUCGCGUCGCGGACAGCCUCCUGGAAAAGGCGGAGUGGCCUGGCCGGGGAGGGGCAGGGCUCCCCUUUGCUUCCCCGGAACUGUCAGUACUUCGUAACGCAUAAUCAGGAAGCUGAAGCUGCUAUGAAAAGAAUGGAUUAGAAGACCAGUACAGAAGCAGGGAGACCAGAAGAGAGACUGCUACAAUGAGCCAGAUGAGAAAUUGUGCUGGCCUGAGCUAAGAGUCAUGGCAGUGGGUAUGCAGAAAUGGCUUUGAACACAAGGUAUAUUUUGGAAGAAGUACCAACAAGACUACUUCACUCAUGUUGAGGUCUUGUGUAAGGUGUUGUGGUUACCAAGGUGGAGGCCCCUCAUCUGGUAGAGAAGGCAGACAUGAACAUGUGUGAAGGCCAUGUGCAGUGGG